CUUUUUCAAAGGCAGCUGAAGUCUGUAGCUGCACAGAAAAAAAAUAAGUCAGAAGAACAGAGAACUUCUCUGGGAGAUAGACACUAAGAUUGCUUUGCAUAGAACUAUUUCUCAUGUUUUCUUCUGAUAGUAUUCCCAGUUGGACAGAAAGCACCUGAAUCUUCUUGGAUCAUGCACAAGAGAAAGCAUUCCUGGGCAGCCAUUGUGGGAGGAGGCAACAAGAAAGGGGAGAAAACGUCUGGGGAAAAUGCAAGAAUGCUGCCCAAGGCCACACAUGAGGAGAGAAAGAAGCAGGAGGCAAAAAGUAAAGAGAAAUUGAAAACCUUGGCUGGCAAAUUGCUGAAGACUGCAGUUGGUGGGAAGGAAACAGUGGAGAAGGCUGGUGCUGAGGAUGUGGCAGGGAAUUUGCUGAAGAGGCCAAGCAGUAGGAAAGGAGUGGAGAGAGGGAUGCCUGCAGAGGAAACCAUCUGCAGAUUCAUUGAGCAAGGAAAAUUUUUGGAAGCUUGUGAUCAAAUUCAUAAUCUGGAGCAUUCUGGAAAUGAUGGUAUAGGGAAGUCUGAAUCCCUUUAUGUGCUGCUGGCUGAACGAAUGUGGACGGUAGUGGGAGAAGCAUUCAGUGGAAGUGAUAGAAUGCUCCUGGAGCCAUUGCAGUCAGUGGGGGAAUCACUGAAGUGGGAGAAGCAGAAGGAAGCAGAGCAGCUUGGCAACAGCCUAGAGACAGAUUUUGUUUCCACCUGGAGCCCAAACUUCUGGAGAAAAGAUCUGGAGGAAAAGCUAAUGCAGUACAUGACUGCCCAGAUUCCCCUCUUUGCUUCCUCUGCUAACACAGACGAGGCUGCACUAAAACAGCACCUGAGUCAUCUGGAAACGAUGUUUCUCCCCAGCCUGGAGCAUAGAAGUGAUGUCUUCAAGGAAGCAGGACUGCUCCUCACCUAUGCCCGCUGCUGUCAUGCCUCUUUGUGUUCUCACCUGGCCACACUUACUGACAGGAACUGUUUCAGCUUCAGCCAGAGCCUUUUAAUUUAUGAAUGGAUCAUUAAAAUGUACAAAAGGUAUGUCUGAAGGGCUUUCUUCCUACAUUUUUCUAUAUCUCUAUUUUUUUUUUUUAAAUUUCUGAAAA
rnacentral:lncRNA from 1 species